UACGUAGGGUGCGAGCGUUGUCCGGAAUUAUUGGGCGUAAAGAGCUUGUAGGCGGUCUGUCGCGUCUGCUGUGAAAAUCCGGGGCUCAACCCGGACUUGCAGUGGGUACGGGCAGACUAGAGUGUGGUAGGGGAGACUGGAAUUCCUGGUGUAGCGGUGAAAUGCGCAGAUAUCAGGAGGAACACCUAUUGCGAAGGCAGCUCGCUGGGACGUAACUGACGCUGAGACGCGAAAGCGUGGGGAGCGAACAGG
rnacentral:rRNA from 1 species